CAUAGGAAACAAGUCAUCUUCGUCGGGAUGAGCAUCUGAAAGAAAACUUGGAGGAUAGCGACCCUGAAGAAAGUCUUCCUAAAACAAAAAAAACACGCACAAGCAGAAGGCUCUCCAUGUCGGCCACUGAUGACGAUGAGUAGAAGUUCAGGAGCUGCAGCAACAACAAUGUGUGAAUAGCUAUCAUGCCAUAAACUGGCUUAACUAUUUUGUAGACUGGCCUGAGGAGAAACUGUGCUCUUUUAGCCUCCUCUGUAUUUUGGAUCUACCCACCAAACUCCUGAUGCCGUGUUAGAGUUGGCGCAGCUUUCUUUAGGUCCUGCAGCGCUACCCUAAGCUACGCUAAUGAUUUGUAAAAAUAUACCAUGUAUGCUAACUGCCUGUGCCAUCCAGCGAUGCCUUAACCGUUGGAGGAUCUAUUAGGCAUAGGUAA